UUGUCUUUGGGGCGGGGAGUAUUUCCUCACCGGCGGUAUAGCCCGCGAGCCUUUUGGCAGGAUUCGGUGAAAUUCCGAAGCCGACCGUAUAGUCGGGAUGAGAAAAGAC
rnacentral:ncRNA from 1 species